UGCUUGAGAGCGGCGCACGGGUGAGUAACGCGUACACAAUCUACCAUAUACAGGAGGAUAGCCCCGGGAAACUGGGAUUAAUACUCCAUAGCCCCUAAUGGCCGCAUGGUUAUAAGGGUAAAGCUCCGGCGGUAUAUGAUGAGUGUGCGUACUAUUAGGUAGUUGGUGGGGUAAUGGCUCACCAAGCCGAUGAUAGUUAGGGGGCGUGAGAGCGUGAUCCCCCACACGGGUACUGAGACACGGACCCGACUCCUACGGGAGGCAGCAGUAAGGAAUAUUGGACAAUGGAGGCAACUCUGAUCCAGCCAUCCCGCGUGCAGGAUGACGGCGCUACGCGUUGUAAACUGCUUUUGUGUAAGAUGAAACACUUGGAUUUACUCCAGGCUUGACGUUAUUACAAGAAUAAGCACCGGCUAACUCCGUGCCAGCAGCCGCGGUAAUACGGAGGGUGCAAGCGUUAUCCGGAAUCACUGGGUUUAAAGGGUGCGUAGGUGGGCUAAUAAGUCAGAGGUGAAAGCCCGCAGCUUAACUGCGGAACUGCCUUUGAUACUGUUAGUCUUGAAUCAGGUUGAGGUAUGCGGAAUGUGGCAUGUAGCGG
rnacentral:rRNA from 1 species